GGCAGAGUGACACAUCCAGUUAAUUAAAGAUAUACCCAUACGGAAGGCAAAUGCACGUGGUUAAUGUGAAUUAAACCAUGACAACCUUCCUAAUUAGCCUUGCUUUCAGAGAAUAAAUAAAUAUAUAGGAUGAUACUGGAAUGGCUGCUCGGACUGCGUGGGAUUCGCUUUGUCUGUCCUCAAAUUGCAAUAAACAAACGUUUCCUCCCUAGGAAGCAGGAAUGGUCUGCGUCAAAGUUACCACAAAACGAAUCAAUUACAAAUGGAUCUCUUGGGAUGAACAAAUAAAACUGAAAUGAGUUGCAGACUGUGGGGAAAUA